GACGAACGCUGGCGGCGUGCCUAAUACAUGCAAGUCGAGCGCAGGAAAUCAUCCGAACCUUUCGGGGGGACGUUGAUGGAAUGAGCGGCGGUCGGGUGAGUAACACGUAAAGAACCUGCCCUCAGGUCUGGGAUAACCACGAGAAAUCGGGGCUAAUACCGGAUGGGUCAUCGGACCGCAUGGUCCGAGGAUGAAAGGCGCUUCGGCGUCGCCUGGGGAUGGCUUUGCGGUGCAUUAGCUAGUUGGUGGGGUAAUGGCCCACCAAGGCGACGAGGCAUAGCCGACCUGAGAGGGUGAUCGGCCACACUGGGACUGAGACACGGCCCAGACUCCUACGGGAGGCAGCAGUAGGGAAUCUUCCACAAUGGACGAAAGUCUGAUGGAGCAACGCCGCGUGAACGAUGAAGGCCUUCGGGUCGUAAAGUUCUGUUGUAAGGGAAGAACAAGUGCCGCAGGCAAUGGCGGCACCUUGACGGUACCUUGCGAGUAAGCCACGGCUAACUACGUGCCAGCCGCCGCCGUAA
rnacentral:rRNA from 1 species